rnacentral:rRNA from 1 species
UACGAAGGGGGCUAGCGUUGCUCGGAUUUACUGGGCGUAAAGGGCGCGUAGGCGGACAGUUAAGUUGGGGGUGAAAGUCCGGGGCUCAACCUCGGAAUUGCCUUCAAUACUGGCUGUCUUGAGUGUGAGAGAGGUGUGUGGAACUCCGAGUGUAGAGGUGAAAUUCGUAGAUAUUCGGAAGAACACCAGUGGCGAAGGCGACACACUGGCUCACUACUGACGCUGAGGCGCGAAAGCGUGGGGAGCAAACAGG